AUUGAACGCUGGCGGCAUGCCUUACACAUGCAAGUCGAACGGUAACGGGCCUUCGGGUGCCGACGAGUGGCGAACGGGUGAGUAAUGUAUCGGAACGUACCUUUCAGUGGGGGAUAACGUAGCGAAAGUUACGCUAAUACCGCAUAUUCUGUGCGCAGGAAAGCAGGGGAUCGCAAGACCUUGCGCUGAUUGAGCGGCCGAUAUCAGAUUAGCUAGUUGGUGAGGUAAAGGCUCACCAAGGCGACGAUCUGUAGCGGGUCUGAGAGGAUGAUCCGCCACACUGGAACUGAGACACGGUCCAGACUCCUACGGGAGGCAGCAGUGGGGAAUAUUGCGCAAUGGGGGGAACCCUGACGCAGCGACGCCGCGUGAAGGAAGAAGGCCUUCGGGUUGUAAACUUCUUUGAUGAGGGACGAAGGAAGUGACGGUACCGUCAAAAACAAGACCACGGCUAACUACGUG
rnacentral:rRNA from 1 species